GCUCUGAUGGUCUAGUGGUUAGAGCGUUUGCCUCGGAUGAAGGAAGACGUGGGUUCGAUCCCCAGCUGAGUCAUACCA